ensembl:lncRNA
AUGGCUAGGGGGCAGGAAGGAGGGGUGGGAAGAGGCCUUGGUGAUGGCAGGAAUUCGUCUAUCUCAGCCCAGUGCCAGGAGGAUUCCAUCCCAGACAGAGCUGCAGUCCCACUGUGGGCGGCGCUUGGUGUGCCUGUGCGGCCCAAGGGACCUGGAGUGCUGCCAGGACGGGCAUCCAGGGCGGCCGGCCCUGCUUGUGGCCGAGGCCCAAGCCACCCACACCUUGGGAGACUUCCAGCUAAGCGGCUGCGUCCAGACCUGCUGAAGCAGGGAGAAAGGGGCACAUUCCGAUUUGAAGCCUCCACGUUCGUGAGCGCUGAUGAUCUGAGUGAAGCUGAAACUCCAACACUUUGGCCACCUGAUGGGAAGAACUGACUCAUUUGAAAAGACUCUGAUGCUGAAAAAGAUUGAAGGCAGGAGGAGAAGGGGACGGCAGAGGAUGAGAUGGUUGGAUGGCAUCACCGAGUCAAUGGACAUGAGUUUGAGUAGACUCCAGGAGUUGGUGAUGGACAGGGAGGCCUAGCAUGCCGCAGUCCAUGGGGUAACAAAGAGUCGGACACGACUGAGCGGCUGAACUGAACUGAACUGAACUGAACUGAACUGAGUGAACCUAAGAGAGGUUAAGAAACUUGCCCAAAGUCACAGAGCUGGUAAGUGACACGCCUGGGACUUGAACUGGCAGUCUCAUUCCAGUGCCUCUGCACUCACUACGCUGCUGCUGGAGCUAAAUCCACAGAAGCAAGAGAAAAGCCUUUCUGAUGCGGCUUGGGGCUGUUAGCAACAGAGAUGAAACCAACCCGAGGCAAGCGAGUAGGAGUCCCCGAGCCUGAGGGUCAAGAGCUCAGGCUCUGCAGUCCCAACAGAGUUGGGUUGGAAGCCUGCUUCUGACUUGUAUCUCUGAGUCACAUGGACAAGUGACUUCACCUCUCUGAGCCUCAGGUUUCUGAUCUGUAAAAUGGGUACAUUGAAGGCCUACCUCCUGGCAUCAUCAUGACAAAAUUAAGUGAUGUGUCAAGCACAGUACCUGGCCUGGAGUAAGCGGUCCUCAAGUCUGGACAGUGUGUCUGAUUUAGCAACAGGGUGUCAGGGGCCAAGCUAAAGCUGUAUGAAUAAAACAGGGCAGAGUGUUAAAGGUGAGUGGGCAGCUUCGGCCUGUGUUGGGGAAGAUGGGAUGAGGAACAAAGUUGGUCAAGGCCAGACCUUCCAAUAGGCUUGUGAGGAAUCUCGUAGAAAGGGGAUAUAUUAGGAAAGGCUUCAAGGUCCAAAGAACUGAAAGGACAGAAGUAAAAGUAGUGAGGGGUUCCGAUCCCUGACCAGCUCAUCCUCUCAACUCCACCACUGAGCCUUAGAAUGAUUAAGAGUAUCCCCACCUCAUAGGAAGCAAUGUAGAAUCAAAGUGUGUUCACAUCCAUAAAUUAAUUGGAGCUUUCUAAAUAGGGGCAAUAUAAAUUAUUAUCCCCAUUUUCAGAAUCAGGAGCCUGAUGCUGGGAAAGAUUGAGGGCAGGAGGAGGAGACGACAGAGGAUGAGAUGGUUGGAUGGCAUCACUGACUCGAUGGACAUAAGUUUGAGCAAGCUCCAGGAGUUGGUGGUGGACAGGGAGGCCUGGCGUGCUGCAGUCCAUGGGGUUGCAAAGAGUCAGACAGGACUGAGUGACUGAGCUGAACUGAACUGAAGGAUCAGGAGACUGAGGCUCAAAGGGAAAGUAACACAACAAAAUUGGAGUUCCUGUAGCACAGCCUCCUCUGUGCUGUGGACUGAAUGUAUCCCCUUUAAGGUCAUAUUUUGAGGCCUUGAUGCCCAGUGGGAUGGUGUUUGAAGGUGGGGCCUCCCAGGGAUACUUAGAUUUCAAUGAGGUCAUGAUUAUAGAGCCCCCAUGAUGGGUUUAUUCAAGAAGAGGAAGAAACCAGAGCUGUCUUUCUCCACCUUGCUAGCAAACAGCAAGAAGGCACACAGCUGUCUGUUAAGCAAUAAGUAUUUCUCCCCCAAGAACCUGACCUUGCUGGCCCCCUGAUCUCAGACUUCUAGCCUCCAAAACUACGUGAAGUAAAUGGUUUAAGCCACUCAGUUGACAGUAUUUUUGUUACAGCGGCACAGGCUGACUAAGG